rnacentral:rRNA from 1 species
AUUGAACGCUGGCGGCAUGCUUUACACAUGCAAGUCGAACGGUAACAGCACUUCGGUGGCUGACGAGUGGCGAACGGGUGAGUAAUACAUCGGAACGUGCCUAGUAGUGGGGGAUAACUACUCGAAAGAGUAGCGAAUACCGCAUGAGAUCGAAGGAUGAAAGCAGGGGACCGUCGGGCCUUGCGCUACUAGAGCGGCUGAGGGGAGAGUAGGUAGUGGUUGGGCUAAAAGCUUACCAAGCCGACGACCUGUAGCGGUACUGGGAGGACGACCAGCCACCCUGGGACUUGGCCACGGCCCAGGCUCCUACGGGAGGCACCAGUGGGGAAUUUUGGACAGUGGGCGCAAGCAUGGUCCAGCAAUGCCGCGUGCAGGAUGACGGCCUUCCGGUUGUAAACUGCUUUUGUACGGAACGAACCGCCCUCUUCUAAUACGGGAGGGUCAUGACGGUACCGUAAGAAUAAGCACCGGCUAACUACGUG